AGCCAUCUUCCCUGACGCCGUUCUACGCGGAUGUCUUCUACCCCAGAGAGUCGUCUUCUCUAAUGACCGCAGGUAAAUGCCCAUCCUGAGGUAACUAGAGAGUACGUCAGCUCCAGUUUGGAUCCAGCCUCUUAUGAAGACUUCAGAUGCUGUGAAGAGAUGACGCCAACUCCUGCAAGGACUUCAGAUGACGCCAUUCUGAAUCACAAGGGAAGCAAAAGCAGUGAACACAGAGACAGCGCUAACCUGCUGAGCCAGUUCACGGGUGGGUGCCAGGACCAAGGCCUGAGAUCCUUUCAGCUCUACAUCAAUCUGCUGCAGGAUGGAGAUGGCAAAGGUGGCAGUCUUGCCUGUUCCUGACUGGGCCUGCGCAAUGA